ACAGUGACCCCCAUCAUCGCCCAGGGGAUGGAUGGGUCCCUGAUGCUUGGAGAAGCAGGAGCCCUCCGUGGCAGUGCCUAGGCGUUAAGGCUCCAGCCUAACCUCUCCCGGGGGUCGACAGGAUGGUUUUUGGACGCCGGGAGUCGCGGAGGGCCGACCGGGAUGAAGAAACCUCAGAGUCUCGCUGUGUCACCCAGGCCGGAGUGCAGUGGUGCGAUGCACCAUCUCGGCUCUCGGCACGCUGCAACCUUCGCAACCUCUGCCUCCCGGGUUCAGUCGAUUCUCUUGACUCAGCCUCCUGCGAUUGGACUACAGGCAUGCACCACCAUACCCGGCUAAUUUUAGUAGAGACGGGGGUUUCACCAUGUUGGGCAGGCUUGUCUCGAACGCCUGACCUCGUGACUCCUGACCUGGUGAUCCGCCUGCCUCGGCCUCACGAAGUGUUGGGAUUACAGGCGUGAGCCACUGUGCCAGGCCAAGAGUAGUAAUCUUUUAACCGCUAUUGGCUUUUGGUAGCCUGCUUUCCAGACUACAAUCCCAGCAUGCCCUGGGAUUUGGGGAGGUGCCGUUACCUUGCGGGUGGGACAGCAGUGGUGCGCCCCUCCCCAGGCAUGCAGGUAGGUAGUAGUAGUCUCUUACCGCUUUCAGCCUUUGGUCGCAGGGAUGCCAGACUGAAAUCCCAGCAUGCACCGGGAUUGGGGGUGGUGCGGGUAUUUUGAGGGAAGCACAGAGCUUUGUCCUCCUUGCGAGGCAUGCAGGGAAUAGUAGUCUCUUAACCGCUUUUGCCCGUUGGUCUGAGGGAAGCUGGACCACAUUCCCAGCAUGCCUGGACAGUGAGCAUUUCUGGAGGGAGGGUCAGUGCAGUGUGCUCCUCGCAGGGCGUGCAGGGAGUAGUAGUUUCUUAACCGCUUCUGGCCGUGGGUCUCAGGGCCGCUGACUGUAGUCCCAGCAUAAGCCAGGGUGGUGUGCUGCCUGGGAGGGAUGGGUAAGAAGGCAGCGUGUACCUUUCUGCUUCCAAAGCAAUGCCGGUCACUGAUUCUGUGCCACCCCUGGCUAAGGGGAGUAAGUCCGGAGAGGGACUUGAGGUACAAUUAGCAAGAUUUGAUGCUACGAAGUGCACUUCACCUCUGCCCAAUCAUCCUCACCUCUCCUUUCACUGCUCAGCUCAGUUUCCUCUCCCACCCGCACUCCCGGGGUCUUUCCUGGUCAUCGCGCCUCACCAAGCCCAGGGAGCUGCCUGCUUUCCGAAGCUGAUGUGGAACUGAGACACUGUCCAUUGUGCUGCCGCCCAGCCAGAGCCUCAGUUCAGCUGCUUUUGGGAGAAUUCGCAGUUUGGCCCUCCCACAGACAAGUUUAGAGCUUGGCAGGAAUAACAUGGGCUGUGGCUUCCUGGAAAGGUCACCCUCACCGGGUGCCUUUUUCAUGGAUGUGAAUGUUGAGUCAUGAGGGAGGGUAACUGUUGGUUUACCCAGGCGAUGCUAAGAGCAGAGGAGAAAACCCCAAUUCCCAGGCAUGUGUCUUGAGCCAGGGACAGGCUGGCCAGACCCUGAUCCCCUGGGGCCCCAGAGAGCAGCCUACGGCCCUGGGUUCUGUGGAACUCCCUGCAUGCUGAUUGCCGUAGCCUCAGGGACACGCUAGCCAGAUGAGGUUGGUGAUGACCCAUGGGCUUCUGGAACUGGGCUGCUGGUCCUGGGAGGGCCAGCCCAUCUCCCUUGGAGAGGGCCUUUGUGUUGAGAGAUGCUCACAGAGGCCUGGGUGUCAGGGACACUCACUCCAGGCAAAGGGCCCUCUUGGGGAACCCCACGUAUUUGGCUGAAAGGAAGCAGACUUGGUCAGCGUUUCCACCUAGCCCAUCUG
rnacentral:lncRNA from 1 species